AAUCAACGCUGGCGGCGUGCCUAACACAUGCAAGUCGAACGCGAAAGGGACUUCGGUCCUGAGUAGAGUGGCGAACGGGUGAGUAACGCGUGGGUGAUCUACCCUCGAGUGGGGGAUAACGUUCCGAAAGGGACGCUAAUACCGCAUACGCCCUGAGGGGGAAAGUGGGGGAUCGCAAGACCUCACGUUAUUCGAGCGGCCGACGUCUGAUUAGCUAGUUGGUGGGGUAAAGGCCUACCAAGGCGACGAUCAGUAGCGGGUCUGAGAGGAUGAUCCGCCACACUGGAACUGAGACACGGUCCAGACUCCUACGGGAGGCAGCAGGUGGGGUAAUUUUGGACAAUGGGGGCAACCCUGAUCCAGCCAUUCCGCGUGAGUGAAGAAGGCCUUCGGGUUGUAAAGCUCUUUCAGCUGGAACGAAACGGUACAUCCUAAUACGGUGUGCUAAUGACGGUACCAGCAGAAGAAGCACCGGCUAACUACGUGCCAGCAGCCGCGGUAAUGUCUAG
rnacentral:rRNA from 1 species